CACGUAGGGGACGAGCGUUGUCCGGAUUCAUUGGGCGUAAAGCGCGCGUAGGCGGCUCGGAAAGUCGGUCGUGAAAUGCCGGGGCUCAACCCCGGGACUGCGUCCGAUACUCCCGAGCUGGAGGCAGGUAGGGGAGAUCGGAAUUCCUGGUGUAGCGGUGAAAUGCGCAGAUAUCAGGAGGAACACCGGUGGCGAAGGCGGAUCUCUGGGCCUUGCCUGACGCUGAGGCGCGAAAGCCAGGGGAGCGAACGGG
rnacentral:rRNA from 1 species